CCGUGCCUGGUCCAGCCAGCAGGCAGGAGCGGGUCGCGCGGUGCCUCGGCUUUUUUUUUUUUUUUUUUUUUUUUUUAAUUGUUAUCACUCCUAUUAUUCUCGAUGCAUUUAUUCUCCCCCGACACCCUGAAGUCGGGUGUCUUCGCAGCCUGCCCGGGUGGGGAGGAGGAGAAGGGAGAGGGAGGAGCAAGCCCCCCGCAUCCAUCCCGCGGAAAGUGAGCCGCGGUGCUGCUGCGGGGCAUCACCUUCCUGCACAUCUCUGCUCACAUCGCUGCUCAGGACGCCUUUCCUGGAGACUUAACUGUUCUAUUAUUAUUAUUAUUAUCAUUAUUAUUAUUAUUUUCUCCCAUCAGUUGCUCUGGAUGCUAGAUACUGAAAGAUGAGUUAGCAGAAGGAAAAACACUAGCUACUCAUCGGUAGGAGGGCUGCCCAUUUGCUCUGAAAGAGACCAUAUGGAAGCACCUUUUUAACAUAGCUUCCAGUCUGACCCUC